rnacentral:rRNA from 1 species
UCGAGAGGCUUCGGCAAUGGGGGAAACCCUGACCGAGCGACGCCGCGUGAGGGAUGAAGGCCCUUGGGUUGUAAACCUCUUUUGUUCGGGAAGAAGUGCGAUCAGGUGAACAAUCUGGUCGUUUGACGGUACCGGACGAAUAAGCUCCGGCUAACUCCGUGCCAGCAGCCGCGGUAACACGGGGGGAGCAAGCGUUGUUCGGAAUCACUGGGCGUAAAGGGCGUGUAGGCGGUCAGGUAAGUGGGAUGUGAAAUGCCCCGGCUCACCCGGGGACCUGCAUCCCAAACUGCUUGGCUUGAGUAUGGGAGAGGAUGAGGGAAUUCCUGGUGUAGCGGUGAAAUGCGUAGAUAUCAGGAGGAACACCGGUGGCGAAGGCGCUCAUCUGGCCCAAUACUGACGCUGAGGCGCGAAAGCUAGGGGAGCAAACG